GGAGAGGUGACCGAGUGGACGAAGGUGCACGAUUGGAAAUCGUGUGAGGGGCAACUCUCCGCGGGUUCGAAUCCCGCUCUCUCCGCCA
rnacentral:tRNA from 1 species